GUAUUGUAUGAAAGGAAAGGAGGUUAUUACCACCUUGACAAGGAAGCAAGAGGCUUUGGUCUACAAUAAAUGUGGUUAAGGCACUGUCACCUCCUGUGUUUAAGCUACCCCAACUGUGGCAUUUU